rnacentral:rRNA from 1 species
AGCAGUGGGGGAAUAUUGCACAAAUGGCGAAAGCCUGAUGCAGCAACGCCGCGUGAGGGAUGACGGCCUUUCGGGUUGUAAACCUCUUUUAGCAGGGAAGAAGCGAAAGUGACGGUACCUGCAGAAAAAGCGCCGGCUAACUACGUGCCAGCAGCCGCGGUAAUACGUAGGGCGCAAGCGUUAUCCGGAAUUAUUGGGCGUAAAGAGCUCGUAGGCGGUUUGUCGCGUCUGCUGUGAAAUCCCGAGGCUCAACCUCGGGUCUGCAGUGGGUACGGGCAGACUAGAGUGCGGUAGGGGAGAUUGGAAUUCCUGGUGUAGCGGUGGAAUGCGCAGAUAUCAGGAGGAACACCGAUGGCGAAGGCAGAUCUCUGGGCCGUUACUGACGCUGAGGAGCGAAAGGGUGGGGAGCAAACAGGCUUAGAUACCCUGGUAGUCCACCCCGUAAACGUUGGGAACUAGUUGUGGGGUCCAUUCCACGGAUUCCGUGACGCAGCUAACGCAUUAAGUUCCCCGCCUGGGGAGUACGGCCGCAAGGCUAAAACUCAAAGGAAUUGACGGGGACCCGCACAAGCGGCGGAGCAUGCGGAUUAAUUCGAUGCAACGCGAAGAACCUUACCAAGGCUUGACAUAUACGAGAACGGGCCAGAAAUGGUCAACUCUUUGGACACUCGUAAACAGGUGGUGCAUGGUUGUCGUCAGCUCGUGUCGUGAGAUGUUGGGUUAAGUCCCGCAACGAGCGCAACCCUCGUUCUAUGUUGCCAGCACGUAAUGGUGGGAACUCAUGGGAUACUGCCGGGGUCAACUCGGAGGAAGGUGGGGAUGACGUCAAAUCAUCAUGCCCCUUAUGUCUUGGGCUUCACGCAUGCUACAAUGGCCGGUACAAAGGGCUGCAAUACCGCGAGGUGGAGCGAAUCCCAAAAAGCCGGUCCCAGUUCGGAUUGAGGUCUGCAACUCGACCUCA